GAUGAAGAACGCAGCGAAAUGCGAUAAGUAAUGUGAAUUGCAGAAUUCAGUGAAUCAUCGAAUCUUUGAACGCACAUUGCGCCCUCUGGUAUUCCGGGGGGCAUGCCUGUUCGAGCGUCAUUAUAACCACUCAAGCUCUCGCUUGGUAUUGGGGUUCGCGGUUUCGCGGCCCCUAAAAUCAGUGGCGGUGCCUGUCGGCUCUACGCGUAGUAAUACUUCUCGCGAUUGAGUCCGGUAGGUCUACUUGCCAGCAACCCCUAAUUUUUUUAAGGUUGACCUCGGAUCAGGUAGGGAUACCCGCUGAACUUAAGCAUAUCAAUAAGCGGAGGA
rnacentral:misc_RNA from 1 species